rnacentral:rRNA from 1 species
AGAGGCGAUGAAGGACGUGCUAAUCUGCGAUAAGCGUCGGUGAGGUGAUAUGAACCGUUAUAACCGGCGAUUUCCGAAUGGGGAAACCCAGUGUGAUUCGUCACACUAUCAUUAACUGAAUCCAUAGGUUAAUGAGGCGAACCGGGGGAACUGAAACAUCUAAGUACCCCGAGGAAAAGAAAUCAACCGAGAUUCCCCCAGUAGCGGCGAGCGAACGGGGAGGAGCCCAGAGCCUGAAUCAGUGUGUGUGUUAGUGGAAGCGUCUGGAAAGGCGCGCGAUACAGGGUGACAGCCCCGUACACAAAAAUGCACAUAUUGUGAGCUCGAUGAGUAGGGCGGGACACGUGGUAUCCUGUCUGAAUAUGGGGGGACCAUCCUCCAAGGCUAAAUACUCCUGACUGACCGAUAGUGAACCAGUACCGUGAGGGAAAGGCGAAAAGAACCCCGGCGAGGGGAGUGAAAAAGAACCUGAAACCGUGUACGUACAAGCAGUGGGAGCCUCUUAAUGGGGUGACUGCGUACCUUUUGUAUAAUGGGUCAGCGACUUAUAUUCUGUAGCAAGGUUAACCGAAUAGGGGAGCCGAAGGGAAACCGAGUCUUAACUGGGCGUUAAGUUGCAGGGUAUAGACCCGAAACCCGGUGAUCUAGCCAUGGGCAGGUUGAAGGUUGGGUAACACUAACUGGAGGACCGAACCGACUAAUGUUGAAAAAUUAGCGGAUGACUUGUGGCUGGGGGUGAAAGGCCAAUCAAACCGGGAGAUAGCUGGUUCUCCCCGAAAGCUAUUUAGGUAGCGCCUCGUGAAUUCAUCUCCGGGGGUAGAGCACUGUUUCGGCAAGGGGGUCAUCCCGACUUACCAACCCGAUGCAAACUGCGAAUACCGGAGAAUGUUAUCACGGGAGACACACGGCGGGUGCUAACGUCCGUCGUGAAGAGGGAAACAACCCAGACCGCCAGCUAAGGUCCCAAAGUCAUGGUUAAGUGGGAAACGAUGUGGGAAGGCCCAGACAGCCAGGAUGUUGGCUUAGAAGCAGCCAUCAUUUAAAGAAAGCGUAAUAGCUCACUGGUCGAGUCGGCCUGCGCGGAAGAUGUAACGGGGCUAAACCAUGCACCGAAGCUGCGGCAGCGACACUAUGUGUUGUUGGGUAGGGGAGCGUUCUGUAAGCCUGUGAAGGUGGCCUGUGAGGGUUGCUGGAGGUAUCAGAAGUGCGAAUGCUGACAUAAGUAACGAUAAAGCGGGUGAAAAGCCCGCUCGCCGGAAGACCAAGGGUUCCUGUCCAACGUUAAUCGGGGCAGGGUGAGUCGACCCCUAAGGCGAGGCCGAAAGGCGUAGUCGAUGGGAAACAGGUUAAUAUUCCUGUACUUGGUGUUACUGCGAAGGGGGGACGGAGAAGGCUAUGUUGGCCGGGCGACGGUUGUCCCGGUUUAAGCGUGUAGGCUGGUUUUCCAGGCAAAUCCGGAAAAUCAAGGCUGAGGCGUGAUGACGAGGCACUACGGUGCUGAAGCGACAAAUGCCCUGCUUCCAGGAAAAGCCUCUAAGCAUCAGGUAACAUCAAAUCGUACCCCAAACCGACACAGGUGGUCAGGUAGAGAAUACCAAGGCGCUUGAGAGAACUCGGGUGAAGGAACUAGGCAAAAUGGUGCCGUAACUUCGGGAGAAGGCACGCUGAUAUGUAGGUGAAGCGACUUGCUCGUGGAGCUGAAAUCAGUCGAAGAUACCAGCUGGCUGCAACUGUUUAUUAAAAACACAGCACUGUGCAAACACGAAAGUGGACGUAUACGGUGUGACGCCUGCCCGGUGCCGGAAGGUUAAUUGAUGGGGUUAGCGGUAACGCGAAGCUCUUGAUCGAAGCCCCGGUAAACGGCGGCCGUAACUAUAACGGUCCUAAGGUAGCGAAAUUCCUUGUCGGGUAAGUUCCGACCUGCACGAAUGGCGUAAUGAUGGCCAGGCUGUCUCCACCCGAGACUCAGUGAAAUUGAACUCGCUGUGAAGAUGCAGUGUACCCGCGGCAAGACGGAAAGACCCCGUGAACCUUUACUAUAGCUUGACACUGAACAUUGAGCCUUGAUGUGUAGGAUAGGUGGGAGGCUUUGAAGUGUGGACGCCAGUCUGCAUGGAGCCGACCUUGAAAUACCACCCUUUAAUGUUUGAUGUUCUAACGUGGGCCCCUUACCGGGGUUGCGGACAGUGUCUGGUGGGUAGUUUGACUGGGGCGGUCUCCUCCUAAAGAGUAACGGAGGAGCACGAAGGUUGGCUAAUCCUGGUCGGACAUCAGGAGGUUAGUGCAAUGGCAUAAGCCAGCUUGACUGCGAGCGUGACGGCGCGAGCAGGUGCGAAAGCAGGUCAUAGUGAUCCGGUGGUUCUGAAUGGAAGGGCCAUCGCUCAACGGAUAAAAGGUACUCCGGGGAUAACAGGCUGAUACCGCCCAAGAGUUCAUAUCGACGGCGGUGUUUGGCACCUCGAUGUCGGCUCAUCACAUCCUGGGGCUGAAGUAGGUCCCAAGGGUAUGGCUGUUCGCCAUUUAAAGUGGUACGCGAGCUGGGUUUAGAACGUCGUGAGACAGUUCGGUCCCUAUCUGCCGUGGGCGCUGGAGAACUGAGGGGGGCUGCUCCUAGUACGAGAGGACCGGAGUGGACGCAUCACUGGUGUUCGGGUUGUCAUGCCAAUGGCACUGCCCGGUAGCUAAAUGCGGAAGAGAUAAGUGCUGAAAGCAUCUAAGCACGAAACUUGCCCCGAGAUGAGUUCUCCCUGACUCCUUGAGAGUCCUGAAGGAACGUUGAAGACGACGACGUUGAUAGGCCGGGUGUGUAAGCGCAGCGAUGCGUUGAGCUAACCGGUACUAAUGAACCGUGAGGCUUAACCU